rnacentral:misc_RNA from 1 species
GAAAUGCGAUAAGUAAUGUGAAUUGCAGAAUUCAGUGAAUCAUCGAAUCUUUGAACGCACAUUGCGCCCGCCAGCAUUCUGGCGGGCAUGCCUGUUCGAGCGUCAUUUCAACCCUCGAGCUCCCCUUGGGGAGCCCGGCGUUGGGGACCGGCCUCUACCGCCGGCCCCGAAAUGAAGUGGCGGCCCGUCCGCGGCGACCUCUGCGUAGUAACUCACCUCGCACCGGAACCCCGACGUGGCCACGCCGUAAAACACCCAACUUUCUGAACGUUGACCUCGAAUCAGGUAGGAAUACCCGCUGAACUUAAGC